GACGAACGCUGGCGGCGUGCUUAACACAUGCAAGUCGAACGGAAAGGCCCUGCUUUUGUGGGGUGCUCGAGUGGCGAACGGGUGAGUAACACGUGAGUAACCUGCCCUUGACUUUGGGAUAACUUCAGGAAACUGGGGCUAAUACCGGAUAGGAGCUCCUGCUGCAUGGUGGGGGUUGGAAAGUUUCGGCGGUUGGGGAUGGACUCGCGGCUUAUCAGCUUGUUGGUGGGGUAGUGGCUUACCAAGGCUUUGACGGGUAGCCGGCCUGAGAGGGUGACCGGCCACAUUGGGACUGAGAUACGGCCCCGGCUCCUACGGGAGGCAGCAGUGGGGAAUAUUGCACAAUGGGCGGAAGCCUGAUGCAGCAACGCCGCGUGCGGGAUGACGGCCUUCGGGUUGUAAACCGCUUUCGCCUGUGACGAAGCGUGAGUGACGGUAAUGGGUAAAGAAGCACCGGCUAACUACGUG
rnacentral:rRNA from 1 species